AAAAAAUUUCUCCUUCGCCAAGCCGCUUUGCGAUAUAUCGCAGCUUGCUUCGUCUAGGCUUUAGGUAUCGAGCACCUCAGUCGAGUCUCGCUAGCUAUUUUCUCUGUUAAAUAUCCGUAAGAUCUGUGACCACUGCAAUCAAUUAUUCUUCUGUUCUCACAUGGCUCCGGACCCAAACAGCGCCAGUGGCAGCGGCACGACCAGAGAGGAGACUUCGGUGAAGGUGCCAUCCAAGGACCCCAAAAAGAGGGACGAGAAGAAGGAUGAGGAUCUGUCGGAUGAGGACCUGGCAUUGAAGCAGCAGUUGGAGUUGUAUGUCGAAAGGGUUCAGGAUCCUGAUCCUGGGUUGCAGAAGGUUGCCUUAGAGAGUAUGAGGCAGGAAAUUCGAACAUCAACAAGCUCAAUGACCUCUGUUCCAAAGCCAUUGAAAUUUCUUCGACCACAUUAUGGAACUCUAAAGUCAUAUUAUGAAACAAUGGCUGACUCAGAUUUGAAGAAAUACUUGGCAGAUAUACUGUCAGUUUUGGCAUUGACCAUGUCUGCUGAGGGAGAACGGGAGAGCUUAAAGUACCGAUUGUUGGGAUCAGAAGGUGAUAUUGGUUCAUGGGGCCAUGAAUAUGUCAGGAACUUGGCUGGAGAAUGUGCUGAAGAAUAUGCAAAACGACAGGGUGAGGAAACGUCAAUUGAUGAUCUAAUGGAACUUGUAACACAAAUUGUUGCUUUUCACAUGAAGCACAAUGCUGAACCUGAAGCAGUUGACCUUUUAAUGGAGGUUGAAGACCUUGAUCUUUUGAUUGACCAUGUAGACAAAACAAAUUUCAAGAGGACCUGCCUAUAUCUCACCAGUGCUGCAAGAUACCUUCCUGGACCAGAUGAUAUGCUAGUUCUUGAUAUCGCUUAUAUGAUAUAUCUCAAAUAUGAAGAAUAUUCAAAUGCACUCCAGAUUGCUCUAUUCCUUGAUAACUUGCAGUAUGUGAAGCAGGUUUUUACGGUUUGUGAUGAUAUGCUCCGAAAGAAGCAAUUCUGUUACAUCGUUGCUCGACAUGGUAUUACUUUUGAGCUUGAUGAUGAAGUGGCUGCAGACGAUGAAGACAGAGAAGCAUUGCAGGAAAUCAUCAACAACACCAAGUUAAGCGAAGGUUAUCUAACCCUUGCUCGGGAUAUAGAAGUCAUGGAGCCCAAAUCUCCUGAAGACAUCUAUAAGGCACAUUUGCUUGAUGGGCGGGCUAGUGCUGGUGCUAGUGUUGAUUCUGCUAGACAAAAUUUGGCUGCUACUUUUGUCAAUGCAUUUGUAAAUGCAGGCUUUGGUCAGGAUAAGUUAAUGACAGUUCCUUCAGACCCUUUAAGUGGUGGUUCUUCAGGAAAUUGGCUUUUCAAGAAUAAAGAACAUGGAAAGGCCAGUGCUGCUGCAAGUCUGGGUAUGAUCUUGUUGUGGGAUGUUGACUCUGGACUUGCUCAAAUUGAUAAAUAUUUCCAUAGCAAUGACAACCAUGUUAUUGCCGGUGCACUACUCGGAGUUGGGAUUGUCAAUUGUGGUAUCAAGAAUGAUUGUGAUCCUGCAUUGGCUCUUCUAGGUGAUUAUACAGAUAAAGAAGAUUCAUCCAUCAGAAUUGGGGCUAUAAUGGGUCUCGGAAUUGCAUAUGCUGGUUCUCAGAAUGAGCAGAUACGCUAUAAAUUGUCACCCAUUCUUAGUGAUGCAAAAGCUCCCCUUGAUGUAAUUGCAUUCACUGCAAUAUCAUUGGGCUUGAUAUGUGUGGGUUCCUGCAAUGAAGAAGUUGCACAGGCUAUUAUAUUUGCAUUAAUGGACCGAAAUGACUCAGAAUUACAAGAGCCCCUUACUCGGUUCUUGCCUCUUGGCCUUGGUCUUCUAUACCUCGGGAAGCAGGAAAGUGUGGAGGCCACAGCAGAAGUUUCAAAGACAUUUAAUGAGAAAAUCAGAAAAUACUGUGAUAUGACACUGCUUUCUUGUGCCUUUGCGGGGACUGGGAAUGUUCUUAAGGUUCAAAACCUCCUGGGUCAUUGUGCUCAGCAUCUUGAGAAGGGUGAAACCCACCAGGGACCAGCUGUGCUAGGAAUUGCCAUGGUUGCAAUGGCAGAGGAAUUGGGGCUUGAAAUGGCAAUUCGUUCGUUGGAGCAUCUUCUGCAGUAUGGGGAACAAAAUAUCCGCCGGGCAGUUCCUUUGGCACUUGGUCUCCUUUGCAUAUCAAACCCAAAGGUUAAUGUUAUGGACACAUUAAGCAGACUUAGCCAUGAUGCAGAUUCAGAAGUUGCAAUGGCUGCAGUUAUUUCCUUAGGUUUGAUAGGUGCAGGAACCAAUAAUGCCAGAAUUGCUGGCAUGCUUCGCAAUCUUUCAAGCUAUUACUACAAAGAUGCUAGCCUUCUGUUCUGUGUGCGAAUUGCUCAAGGUCUUGUACAUUUGGGAAAGGGCUUAUUGACUCUGAAUCCAUAUCAUUCUGAUCGUUUCUUGUUAUCACCGAUGGCUCUUGCUGGUUUAAUAACCAUGCUUCAUGCAUGUCUAGAUAUGAAAGCUAUCAUCUUGGGAAAAUAUCAUUAUGUUCUCUAUUUCCUUGUUUUGGCAAUGCAGCCACGAAUGUUGAUGACUGUGGAUGAGAAUCUCAAACCUUUAUCUGUACCUGUUCGGGUGGGACAAGCUGUUGAUGUUGUUGGUCAGGCAGGUCGACCCAAGACUAUUACUGGUUUCCAGACACACUCAACACCCGUGCUUCUGGCUGCAGGCGAUAGAGCUGAGCUUGCUACUGAGAAGUAUAUUCCUCUUUCACCCAUUCUCGAAGGCUUUGUCAUCUUGAAGGAGAACCCGGAGUACAGGGAAGAUCACUAAUUGUUAAUCAGGGCAUGAAAUGGAACUUAUUUGGCUGGUGUCAAAUAGGCCCUUGCCUAAUAGCUUCAAGCUCAGAAAAUCAAAGUUUGUAUGAGAUUUUAGGUAAGGUUAUGAUGGAUGCAGGUUAGGUCUAUCUUUUUGUUCCCCUCCUGGUUGUUCCAAACACAGCAGACCAUUGUGAAACUAGGCACUCAGUUAAGAGAGAGGGAUAUUUAUCACUUGCUUUCAAGUUUUGUAAUGAAUGUAUAUUGGGCAUGAUGGCCCUUGGUCACCUGGUUUCAUUAAAUUAGAAAGUUCUUUUUAUUUUUGGCAUUUGUGUUUAUUAAUUUGGAAGUUUUCAUUUUCUUUCCCUUAAGCUUAAGCUGCCUUCUCCUUUGGAGUGAUAAUUGUUAGUUUGAACUUGUUGGAUGCAGAACUCGAUUGAAUUGUGGUAUAAUUGGUAUCAAUCAAGUCUUAAUAUGAAAUUGAUUGUGGC
rnacentral:misc_RNA from 1 species